UAUAAGAUUUGUAGACCGAAAACCUCGAGGUUAAUUUAUAACAAAUUUUGAAAGAUGCUUUUAAAUGAUAUAUAAAGAAUGUUUUUAAAGUACGGGUUUCAUAUGAUAUAAGUCCUUGUCCGGACAAACUAACUAUCGGGUAUUGCUUUUUCGGGUUGAAAACCCUAGAGUGAUAUCUGAUAGGAGUGUUGGUGUUCUUUGGUUGUUAGUCUAAGGUGAUCGGAAGUAUUCUGAGAACCUCUGAUCGGCCAUCGAGGAACAUCGACCGUGUCAUUUCUGGUCAUCUACGAUCGGGGGUGUCACAGUCGGGGGCAUUUGUAUUUCAUAGUCAGAGGUGAAGUUCUUGGAUUUAUGAAAGACGAACAACUGCAAUAGCAUUUGCCAAGGAUGUUUACAUUAAUCAAGAACGAAAGUUGGGGGCUCAAAGACGAUCAUAUACCGUCCUAGUCUCAACCAUAAACGAUGCCGGCCAGGGAUCAGUGGAUGUUGCUUUUAGGACUCCGCUGGCACCUUAUGAGAAAUCAAAGUUUUUGGAUUCCGGGGGGAGUAUGGUCGCAAGGCUGAAACUUAAAGGAAUUGACGGAAGGGCACCACCAGGAGUGGAGCCUGCGGCUUAAUUUGACUCAACACGGGGAAACUUACCAGGUCCAGACAUAGUAAGGAUUCACAGAAUGAGACCUCUUUCUUGAUUCUCUGGGUGCUGGUGCAUGGCCAUUCUUAGUUGGUGGAACGAUUUGUCUGGUUAAUUCCGUUAACGAACAAGACCUCAGCCUGCUAACUAGCUAUGUGGAGGCAUCCCUUCACGGCCGGCUUCUUAGAGGGACUAUGGCCGUUUAAGCCAAGGAAGUUUGAGGCAAUAAAAGGUCUACACUGAUGUAUUCAACGAGUUCACACCUUGGCCGACAGGCCCGUGUAAUCUUUGAAAUUUCAUCGUGAUGGGGAUAGAUCAUUGCAAUUGUUGGUCUUCAACGAAGAAUUCCUAGUAAGCGCGAGUCAUCAGCUCGCGUUGACUACGCCCCUACCCUUUGUACACACCGCCCGUCGCUCCUACCGAUUGAAUGAUUCGGGGAUCGCAUCGCGACGACGUGGGUGGUUUGCCGUCUGCGACGUCGCGAGAAGUACACUAAACCUUAUCAUUUAGAGGAAGGAGAUGUCGUAACCAGGUUUCCGUAGGUGAACCUGCGGAAGGAUCAUUG
rnacentral:ncRNA from 2 species